GACGAACGCUGGCGGCGUGCUUAACACAUGCAAGUCGAACGAUGAAGCUAGAGCUUGCUCUGGUGGAUUAGUGGCGAACGGGUGAGUAACACGUGAGUAACCUGCCCCGAACUCUGGGAUAACUGCUGGAAACGGUAGCUAAUACCGGAUAUGACCAAUGAAGGCAUCUUCUGUUGGUGGAAAGAAUUUCGGUUCGGGAUGGACUCGCGGCCUAUCAGCUUGUUGGUGAGGUAACGGCUCACCAAGGCGACGACGGGUAGCCGGCCUGAGAGGGUAGUCGGCCACACGGGGAGUGAGACACGCCCCAGACCCCGCCGGGAGGCAGCAGGGGGGAAUAUUGCCCAAUGGGCGGAAGCAUGAUGCAGCACCGCCGGGUGAGGGACGACGGCUUUGGGGUUGUAAACCUUUUUUAGGAGGAAAGAAGCGAAAGGGACGGUACCUGAAGAAAAAGCACCGGCUAACUACGUGCCAGCCGCCGCAGUAA
rnacentral:rRNA from 1 species